rnacentral:ncRNA from 1 species
CUGACGACCGCGUAUGGGUCGAUGUCGGUCUCGACAGCCCAUCACUCGCAAAAGGUAAAGCAAAGGUGGGUGAACGCGUGACAGUCAG